rnacentral:rRNA from 1 species
AUUGAACGCUGGCGGCAGGCCUAACACAUGCAAGUCGAGCGGAUGAAGGGAGCUUGCUCCUGGAUUCAGCGGCGGACGGGUGAGUAAUGCCUAGGAAUCUGCCUGGUAGUGGGGGAUAACGUCCGGAAACGGGCGCUAAUACCGCAUACGUCCUGAGGGAGAAAGUGGGGGAUCUUCGGACCUCACGCUAUCAGAUGAGCCUAGGUCGGAUUAGCUAGUUGGUGGGGUAAAGGCCUACCAAGGCGACGAUCCGUAACUGGUCUGAGAGGAUGAUCAGUCACCCCAGAACCUAACCACCGUCCAGACUCCUACGGGAGGCAGCAGUGGGGAAUAGUGGACAAUGGGCGAAAGCCUGAUCCAGCCAUGCCGCGUGUGUGAAGAAGGUCUUCGGAUUGUAAAGCACUUUAAGUUGGGAGGAAGGGCAGUAAGUUAAUACCUUGCUGUUUUGACGUUACCAACAGAAUAAGCACCGGCUAACUUCGUG